rnacentral:rRNA from 1 species
ACGAGUGGCGGACGGGUGAGUAACACGUAGGUAACCUGCCCAGAAGCGGGGGACAACAUUUGGAAACAGAUGCUAAUACCGCAUAACAGCGUUGUUCGCAUGAACAACGCUUAAAAGAUGGCUUCUCGCUAUCACUUCUGGAUGGACCUGCGGUGCAUUAGCUUGUUGGUGGGGUAACGGCCUACCAAGGCGAUGAUGCAUAGCCGAGUUGAGAGACUGAUCGGCCACAAUGGGACUGAGACACGGCCCAUACUCCUACGGGAGGCAGCAGUAGGGAAUCUUCCACAAUGGGCGCAAGCCUGAUGGAGCAACACCGCGUGAGUGAAGAAGGGUUUCGGCUCGUAAAGCUCUGUUGUUAAAGAAGAACACGUAUGAGAGUAACUGUUCAUACGUUGACGGUAUUUAACCAGAAAGUCACGGCUAACUACGUGCCAGCAGCCGCGGUAAUACGUAGGUGGCAAGCGUUAUCCGGAUUUAUUGGGCGUAAAGAGAGUGCAGGCGGUUUUCUAAGUCUGAUGUGAAAGCCUUCGGCUUAACCGGAGAAGUGCAUCGGAAACUGGAUAACUUGAGUGCAGAAGAGGGUAGUGGAACUCCAUGUGUAGCGGUGGAAUGCGUAGAUAUAUGGAAGAACACCAGUGGCGAAGGCGGCUACCUGGUCUGCAACUGACGCUGAGACUCGAAAGCAUGGGUAGCGAACAGGAUUAGAUACCCUGGUAGUCCAUGCCGUAAACGAUGAGUGCUAGGUGUUGGAGGGUUUCCGCCCUUCAGUGCCGGAGCUAACGCAUUAAGCACUCCGCCUGGGGAGUACGACCGCAAGGUUGAAACUCAAAGGAAUUGACGGGGGCCCGCACAAGCGGUGGAGCAUGUGGUUUAAUUCGAAGCUACGCGAAGAACCUUACCAGGUCUUGACAUCUUGCGCCAACCCUAGAGAUAGGGCGUUUCCUUCGGGAACGCAAUGACAGGUGGUGCAUGGUCGUCGUCAGCUCGUGUCGUGAGAUGUUGGGUUAAGUCCCGCAACGAGCGCAACCCUUGUUACUAGUUGCCAGCAUUAAGUUGGGCACUCUAGUGAGACUGCCGGUGACAAACCGGAGGAAGGUGGGGACGACGUCAGAUCAUCAUGCCCCUUAUGACCUGGGCUACACACGUGCUACAAUGGACGGUACAACGAGUCGCGAACUCGCGAGGGCAAGCAAAUCUCUUAAAACCGUUCUCAGUUCGGACUGCAGGCUGCAACUCGCCUGCACGAAGUCGGAAUCGCUAGUAAUCGCGGAUCAGCAUGCCGCGGUGAAUACGUUCCCGGGCCUUGUACACACCGCCCGUCACACCAUGAGAGUUUGUAACACCCAAAGUCGGUGGG